UGGGGUAAUGGCCUACCAAGGCGGUGACGGGUAGCCGGCCUGAGAGGGUGACCGGCCACACUGGGACUGAGACACGGCCCAGACUCCUACGGGAGGCAGCAGUGGGGAAUAUUGGACAAUGGGCGGAAGCCUGAUCCAGCAACGCCGCGUGAGGGAUGACGGCCUUCGGGUUGUAAACCUCUUUCGUCAUCGACGAAGCCCUGGCUUUUUGGUUGGGGUGACGGUAGGUGGGGAAGAAGCACCGGCCAACUACGUGCCAGCAGCCGCGGUAAUACGUAGGGUGCGAGCGUUGUCCGGAAUUAUUGGGCGUAAAGGGCUCGUAGGCGGUUUGUCGCGUCGGGAGUGAAAUCACUGGGCUUAACCGAGUGCUUGCUUUCGAUACGGGCAGACUUGAGGCAUUCAGGGGAGAACGGAAUUCCUGGUGUAGCGGUGAAAUGCGCAGAUAUCAGGAGGAACACCGGUGGCGAAGGCGGUUCUCUGGGAAUGUUCUGACGCUGAGGAGCGAAAGUGUGGGGAGCGAACAGGAUUAGAUACCCUGGUAGUCCACACCGUAAACGUUGGGCGCUAGGUGUGGGGCCUUUUUCCAUGGGUUCCGUGCCGCAGCUAACGCAUUAAGCGCCCCGCCUGGGGAGUACGGAAU
rnacentral:rRNA from 1 species